UACGGGGGGGAGCAAGCGUUGUUCGGAAUUACUGGGCGUAAAGGGCGCGUAGGCGGCCUGCUAAGUCGAACGUGAAAUCCCUGGGCUCAACCCAGGAACUGCGUCCGAUACUGGUUGGCUUGAAUCCGGGAGAGGGAUGUGGAAUUCCAGGUGUAGCGGUGAAAUGCGUAGAUAUCUGGAGGAACACCGGUGGCGAAGGCGACAUCCUGGACCGGUAUUGACGCUGAGGCGCGAAAGCCAGGGGAGCAAACGGG
rnacentral:rRNA from 1 species